rnacentral:misc_RNA from 1 species
AAAGUCGUAACAAGGUCUCCGUAGGUGAACCUGCGGAGGGAUCAUUACACAAUAUGCAAGCGGGCUGGGAUCCCCGGGAGGGCGUCUAUUCUGCCGUUUCCGCCGCAUCUGCGGUGCUGAAGCGACAGGGCGGGCGUCUUUUCGGCCAGCCUGACUCCAUAUUCACCCAUGUCUUUUGCGUACUACUUGUUUCCUUGGUGGGUUCGCCCACCAACAGGACCAUUUAAACCUUUUUGUAAUUGCAAUCAGCGUCAGCAAAACAAUGUAAUAAAUUACAACUUUCAACAACGGAUCUCUUGGUUCUG